CAAAAACAUAUCUUCAUAUCUGCUACCCUGUAAAUAGCUUUAUAAGUUGUUUUUCUGGUUUCCCUGGGAUUAGGGCCUGAGGAUGAUUUCUGUCUCCAAUCCGUUCUUGUAGAUAUGAAACUGCAGUCAAGCAUUGCAAACUCCUGAAGCGCGAGGAACAGCGGGCUCUUAGUCGGUUUUGUUUGGUUCUUGGUAGCCAGAUUACCUGGAGCGUCGUGAUUCAGGCAAAAGUUCUCUCUGAAGUUCUAUGUGAUUUUCUUCGCAGACUUGAAAGCAAAAGCAUCACAACAUGAAGAAUACAGUGAUUAUUGACCAUGAUUCUAUCAACAGCUUUCCUGUUUACAUGUAAAUGGAAAAAGGGAGACAGAUCACCUUUGCGAUCCUGCGUUGUUAAAUGUAGCUAUUUCAGUAAAGAUUGAGAGGAGGUACCUGUGGAGGUGAGGGAGGAAUGGGCAGCAGCCGCAUCAGCCGGAUCAAUCCAAAUGUUCAAGGAGGAGGAAGAAAUUGCAGAUGGAUCACCCUAACAUCCAACAAUAUAAAAACAAGCUUAUAAUAAAAAAAUCAUAGCUUUUUCACAAAUUCUUUAGUAUCUAUGUCCACAAAACCAGGUGAAGAAUUUAGAAAACUCUUUGUGCGCAUAGAUUCCUCUAGACAAAAAGCAACUUUGUAAAUAAUCAAAUUCUACACAUUCCAGAUUCAAAUCCUUAGUACACUGGUUUAGGAAAAUUGUUCAGUGUGAGGUGUGUCUCCACAAAGAUUGAUCCCAAGCAACUGAUUGGAAAGGAAGAGUGCAAGUCAAUUACUUUUAUCCAAAGAACAAAAAGCAAUGGAUUAGAACAGUUUGUUUUUUCCUUCCAAUGACAUUGGUUUUCAUUCUAUUAAAAGGAUUUCAAAAACAUACAAAGAUAUUUGGCGAAGGAAAGAGACCACUAUGUCCCACUUUGUGGAGCAGAUUUUCUUUGUUCAUUUUCCUCAAAAGUGAAGUGUGAGGACAGCCGUAUUUGUCAGAGUAAAUUCAACUUUGAAGAAAAACUAAGUAUGUAGCACAAUCAAGUGUAAGGUCAUGAGUAUGGAGAGAAGAAUAAUAUGAUCUGAGUGAAACCCACAUGGUAUUCCUUAUUAGCCUAAAAUAAAAUUUUUUCUGCUUUUUCCUUUGGGUUAAGAAGUUGUAGCUCCUAGUAAAUAUGGACUUUUACUUAGAAAGUUCAAUAAUUCAGCCAUUAUCCGCCAUAAAUCAUAGCUUAAAUUAUUCCUAUGUAGUUCACUAAUUAUCAAGCUAUGACUUAGGGUAGCCAUCAGAGCCUGCUCAUUUUUUGCCAAGUUACCACCACAAACCAGGGCUCACUCCUUGAAGAUUUUAUGAAGAGCCAUAAAAUCACCUCUAUAUGUCAAUCCUAUUUUAUUCCUUUUCAACAAAUCCCCUGUAUCAGUCUCUAGUUUCAGUCUGUUAU
rnacentral:lncRNA from 1 species